GGUGAGGUGGCCGAGUGGUCUAAGGCGCUAGGUUCAGGUCCUAGUCAACAUCUGUUGGCGUGGGUUCGAAUCCCACCCUCAUCA